CAGUAGCCGCGGUAAUACGAAGGGUGCAAGCGUUACUCGGAAUUACUGGGCGUAAAGCGUGCGUAGGUGGUGGUUUAAGUCCGUUGUGGAAGCCCUGGGCUCAACCUGGGAAUUGCAGUGGAUACUGGGUCACUAGAGUGUGGUAGAGGAUAGUGGAAUUUCCGGUGUAGCAGUGAAAUGCGUAGAGAUCGGAAGGAACAUCUGUGGCGAAGGCGACUAUCUGGGCCAACACUGACACUGAGGCACGAAAGCGUGGGGAGCAAACAGGAUUAGAUACCCGAGUAGUCCCUGUCUCUUAUAC
rnacentral:rRNA from 1 species